AUUGAACGCUGGCGGCAGGCCUAACACAUGCAAGUCGAACGAGUGGCGGACGGGUGAGUAAUUUCUGGGCAACUGCCUGAUGGAGGGGGAUAACUACUGGAAACGGUAGCUAAUACCGCAUACCAUCGGAUCUGCCCAGAUUGGAUUAGCUCGUCGGUGGGGUAACGGCUCACCAAGGCGCCGAUCCCUAGCUGAUCUGAGAGGAUGACCAGCCACACUGGAACUGAGACACGGCCCAGACUCCUACGGGAGGCAGCAGGGGGGAAUAGUGCAAAAUGGGCGCAAGCCUGAUGCAGCAAUGCCGCGGGUAUGAAGAAGGCCUUCGGGUUGUAAAGUACUAUCAGCGGGGAGGCGUUACCCGCAGAGAAAGCACCGGCUAACUCCGUGCCAGCAGCCGCGGUAAUAC
rnacentral:rRNA from 1 species